rnacentral:lncRNA from 7 species
GUGUUCGGGCUUAUUCCUUGCCUCUAUUUGACUUUGCUCCUAGGAUCAGAGCAGGGCUUCGGAGGAUCCUAUGCAGAGAGCAUCCUCCAAGGACGUGUUUUCAAAGACUCUCCAUCUCCCAAAGGCUGAAUAAUCUCAAGAAAGGGCCCAGGAAGAAGUGAAAUCCUCUCCAGAACGGUCAUUUGCAAGAGUGUGUUUCCGUAACCUUGCAUUGUUACAGCAUCACAAGGAUUUGUCUCCUCUUCUGGCUCCAGCACGCAUGUUCCUGGCUCCCAUGGAGGCACUGUGGACAGCCCAUGCCAUACAACGUGCCAGAAACAUGACCUCCCCAUGAACUUCGGGCCAUAUUUUCAAGUCUGCGCCCAGCUCCUUGCAGGCAGGGCUGUCUGGCCAGUGCAUUCUGGCCCUUUUGCAUGGAAAAUGAGCUGUGUCAGCCUUCGUGGCCCACUGGCUUGCCAGCUGCAUCCCUAACAGCACUUUGCAGCCUCCUCCCUCCGUGCUCAACAUGUUGCCUUCACCUGGCACAUGGGACAGCAACGAGGGGACUGUGAGCUUGUCCUCGGUGGCUGGGGCCCAGCUGGCCACCCCCAUCUCCCCACUGCAGCCACCGCACGCUCCUCGAUGCAGCAGAACUCAAUGUACAGCCCUUUUAUUUUUCCUCCUUGGUUUUCCUGUUUCCAGAACAGUUGAAUAUUUUACUUGCAUCGUGCCCCAGUUCCCCAGUUUCCAGCAGGCAGAACAGGGCGAUCUGUACUCACCUCUUGCAGCAGCUGGUGCUUGUUCCCCUGGCAAAACUUCACUUUGGAGCUGAACCCAACAAUGCUGCUGACUCCAACUGAUUCUUUCUCCCCCAGCCUAAGGCACUUUAUGAUGAUAUUAAUAACCAGACACUGAGGUUCAGCACUAAGGAUUUCUUAAGCUUGCUGCUGGGGCUGUGAUUGAGCUUUGUAGCCAUCUCUGCUUCAUCCCAUGAUCCAUCAGGGUUGGUGGGGACACCCAGACCUCUUUCCUGUUCUGCCCUUAAUACAUCAAAGGGAGAUCUCUUGUUCGAUGGUUCUCUAUUAACCCUAUUCAUGAGUCUUUUAAUUAGUGUUGCCUUCUGCUAAGUAAUCGCUUCAGCAUUAGCUCCUCUGGGGCAAUGCAGAGCUGCAACAGGGCACUGCAGGAGCUGCAUGCUGCUGUUCUGCUUUCUGGACCUGCUCCUGCUGGCAACUAUGCCAUUCCUUUUGCACAGACCGCACAGUGCCAGAGCAGCCCACUAAAACUUGCAAAGAAAAGCAGAAAGAAGCAUCUGAAACCCCACCAGGAGCUGCGGCAGGUAGAGUUCUAUCCUUACAUCUGGGAAACCUCCAGCUCAGCUCAAUCCUGCUGAUGCACUGCUAAGGGGAGCUUUGUAGUGGCCCUAUUCAAAGCACUCAGCUCUGGGGGCAUGUUUCCCCCAGCACCCAGGAGUAAUGUUUCCUUUGUUAAUUCAGGGUCCCCACCAAUCUGCAUCACCCCAUGCCUGGAGGCAGAGCUGCCAUGGCUGCCUUUUAUCCCCUGCAUCCUCCGGCAGAGCUCACAAAGUGGUACUUUGUACCAGAGCAAGAAACAAGAGACGUGAGCUGUAAUACAGGAGAGAGAGAAAAAAAAACCCUCAUCUCACCCCUUGUGUUUUUCCUGGAAAUGUCACUGCCCUUAAUGCAUCAAAUAAUUAGAAUCACUUCUCCCCUUUUGUUUGCCUUGGCCCUCACUGCUCGCAUUGAGUGGGCCAACAUAAACCUGUGCGCACCACAGGAAUUUUGGGCACAGCCCAUUCUGCAGUGUUGGGUGCAGGGGGAGAAGUGGCUGCAGGAGCUUUGGUUCUGCUCCAUAUGUCUCUGCUGCUGUGGGCACUGCUGGGCACAGAGCUCCCGUAGAGAGGACCUCACUGCAACGCUAGCGCUCAACCAAGUGCUGGUCCCAAUGGAAAUCCACUGUCCUGGAGAGAAGCAGCAGCAGCUGAUGCCCAUUUAAUGCCAAAAUUGCAGAUUUGUGUUUGACCUGAGUGGUGGGUGUGAGCGUGAUGCUGGCGGGACAGAUGGGUGGAUAGCUCUCUGAAGUCCCAGUGGGAUGUUAUGCUUGUUGCUCUGUAGUUGUAGCCUUCUCCUCUGGGUGCUGGGGAGUGCUCCGAGGUGACGUGGGAGAACAUAUCCCUUGUGAAUGCUGGAAAGCUGUGCUGGGUGAGGUGGCAUUGCACCACUAAUCCACGCACAGAGGAGCCCAGCACCCCCUCAGCACCCCUUACAGACACAGAUGGACACAGCCAGCAUCACAGCCCAGCUGGCUGCCUGCCCCCAGCACCGCUCCCAUGGGCUGCAUGUAUGUCAAUGGGUUAUUAAAGAAACGGAUGGGGGAUUAGCUGUGCUGUAGGUAGAGACCCCAUUCAGAUUUGCUAAGUUUCAGCAAGUAUGUUUUCAAUAAUUGGCUGGUAUUUGUAAGAAAUGAAUAAAACCUAGGCU